rnacentral:tRNA from 1 species
GCAAAGAUAGGUUAACAAAACCGCUGAGCUGUGGAUUCAGAGAUGUGUCUAUUACUCUUUUUC